rnacentral:rRNA from 1 species
CUACGUGCCAGCAGCCGCGGUAAUACGUAGGGCGCGAGCGUUGUCCGGAAUUAUUGGGCGUAAAGAGCUUGUAGGCGGUUGGUCGCGUCUGCUGUGAAAGGCCGGGGCUUAACUCCGGUUUUGCAGUGGGUACGGGCUAACUAGAGUGCAGUAGGGGAGACCGGAAUUCCUGGUGUAGCGGUGGAAUGCACAGAUAUCAGGAGGAACACCGAUGGCGAAGGCAGGUCUCUGGGCUGUAACUGACGCUGAGAAGCGAAAGCAUGGGGAGCGAACAGGAUUAGAUACCCUGGUAGUCCAUGCCGUAAACGUUGGGCACUAGGUGUGGGGGACAUUCCACGUUUUCCGCGCCGUAGCUAACGCAUUAAGUGCCCCGCCUGGGGAGUACGGCCGCAAGGCUAAAACUCAAAGGAAUUGACGGGGGCCCGCACAAGCGGCGGAGCAUGCGGAUUAAUUCGAUGCAACGCGAAGAACCUUACCAAGGCUUGACAUGC